CUUAAGACCAGACAAAAUUCCAUCAGGCAUAUGGAGGUUGACAUGAAGGUUCAGCCCUAGUCAAGAAGUUAUAGACAAUUGAUAGCUGCUGGGAGAGGAACAAUCAAUUUUAAGAGUGUUGCUACUGGUGUGGCCUCAGAUGUUUUUCCAAGCUUCAUGCUUUGCAAGACCUAGACCUCUGAAAAGGCAGAGGGACAAGAGGAUUUUGAGUUCUGCUACAAUCUCAUGGGAAGAACCUUCAUCUGGCGAUGGAUGGAGAUAGAGACAGAGACCCACAUUGUGGCACCAGACUGAGCUCCCAAGGUCCAAAUGAUGAGCAGAAGGUGGGAGAACAUGAGCAAGGAAGUCAGGACCGCGAGGGGUGCACCCACCCACUGAGAC